UUAACACAUGCAAGUCGAGGGGCAGCAUGAACUUAGCUUGCUAAGUUUGAUGGCGACCGGCGCACGGGUGAGUAACACGUAUCCAACCUGCCGAUAACUCGGGGAUAGCCUUUCGAAAGAAAGAUUAAUACCCGAUGGUAUAGUUCUUCCGCAUGGUUUUACUAUUAAAGAAUUUCGGUUAUCGAUGGGGAUGCGUUCCAUUAGUUUGUUGGCGGGGUAACGGCCCACCAAGACUACGAUGGAUAGGGGUUCUGAGAGGAAGGUCCCCCACAUUGGAACUGAGACACGGUCCAAACUCC
rnacentral:rRNA from 1 species